rnacentral:rRNA from 1 species
GACGAACCGUACGAACGUUAUUCGGAAUCACUGGGCUUAAAGGGUGCGUAGGCUGCGCAGCAAGUUGGGUGUGAAAUCCCUCGCUUAACCGAGGAACUGCGCCCAAAACUGCUGUGCUCGAGGGAGAUAGAGGUGAGCGGAACUUAGGGUGGAGCGGUGAAAUGCGUUGAUAUCCUAAGGAACACCGGUGGCGAAAGCGGCUCACUGGAUCUCUUCUGACGCUGAGGCACGAAAGCUAGGGUAGCGAACGGG